ensembl:snoRNA
UGAGCACUUUCACAGGUCCUCCCUCAGGGUGUGGGGCCAGGAUUUGGUAGCUGGUGCUAAGAGAAAACCUUUGAUGGCGUCCUUGCCCUGGGACUGUGCCAGUGGCAGCUGUCAUUCAAUGGGACAAUU